rnacentral:rRNA from 1 species
CCUACGGGAGGCAGCAGUGAGGAAUAUUGGUCAAUGGGCGCAAGCCUGAACCAGCCAUGCCGCGUGCAGGAAGACGGUCCUAUGGAUUGUAAACUGCUUUUAUUAGGGAAUAAACCUCUUUACGUGUAGAGAGCUGAAGGUACCAAAUGAAUAAGCACCGGCUAACUCCGUGCCAGCAGCCGCGGUAAUACGGAGGGUGCAAGCGUUAUCCGGAAUCAUUGGGUUUAAAGGGUCCGCAGGCGGUCUUAUAAGUCAGUGGUGAAAUCCUACAGCUCAACUGUAGAACUGCCAUUGAUACUGUAAGACUUGAAUUCGAUCGAAGUGGGCGGAAUAUGACAUGUAGCGGUGAAAUGCUUAGAUAUGUCAUAGAACACCGAUAGCGAAGGCAGCUCACUAGGUCUGGAUUGACGCUCAGGGACGAAAGCGUGGGGAGCAAACAG